UGGGGAAUCUUCCGCAAUGGGCGAAAGCCUGACGGAGCAAUGCCGCGUGGGUGAAGAAGGCCUUCGGGUUGUAAAGCCCUGUCUUAUGGGAAGAAGAAAGUGACGGUACCAUAGGAGGAAGCCACGGCUAACUACGUGCCAGCAGCCGCGGUAAUACGUAGGUGGCGAGCGUUGUCCGGAAUCACUGGGCGUAAAGGGCGCGCAGGCGGUUUUUUAAGUCAGUUGGGAAAUAUCCGGGCUUAACCUGGA
rnacentral:rRNA from 1 species